AGCUUUCCACAGUGGCAGUAUCGUAGCCAAUGAGGUUUAUCCAAGGCAAGAUUACUGCUAGUUGAAAACUUUUCCCAGUAGUAUUUGUUAUAUAAUAAACCAACAAGCAAAAGUGAUUGUUUCCCUGAGUUCUGUGAUUUUAUUCUAGCUUAAA
rnacentral:snRNA from 1 species